rnacentral:rRNA from 1 species
UACGUAGGGUGCGAGCGUUAAUCGGAAUUACUGGGCGUAAAGUGUGCGCAGGCGGCAGAGCAAGUCGAGUGUGAAAGCCCCGGGCUUAACUUGGGAAUUGCGCUCGAAACUACUUUGCUGGAGUGUGGCAGAGGAAGGUGGAAUUCCACGUGUAGCGGUGAAAGUGACGUAGAGAUGUGGAGGAACACCAAUGGCGAAAGGC